rnacentral:rRNA from 1 species
UGUUACCAUCCCACCCUGAACACAUCCAGUUUGAUUUUGGAAGCUAAGCAGGGUCAAGCCUGGUUAGUACUUGGAUGAGAGAUCUCCAGGGAUUUCCACAGAGGGCUAAGAA